UGCAGUCGAACGAGUUCUCGUUGAUGAUCGGUGCUUGCACCGAGAUUCAACAUGGAACGAGUGGCGGACGGGUGAGUAACACGUGGGUAACCUGCCCUUAAGUGGGGGAUAACAUUUGGAAACAGAUGCUAAUACCGCAUAGAUCCAAGAACCGCAUGGUUCUUGGCUGAAAGAUGGCGUAAGCUAUCGCUUUUGGAUGGACCCGCGGCGUAUUAGCUAGUUGGUGAGGUAAUGGCUCACCAAGGCGAUGAUACGUAGCCGAACUGAGAGGUUGAUCGGCCACAUUGGGACUGAGACACGGCCCAAACUCCUACGGGAGGCAGCAGUAGGGAAUCUUCCACAAUGGACGCAAGUCUGAUGGAGCAACGCCGCGUGAGUGAAGAAGGCUUUCGGGUCGUAAAACUCUGUUGUUGGAGAAGAAUGGUCGGCAGAGUAACUGUUGUCGGCGUGACGGUAUCCAACCAGAAAGCCACGGCUAACUACGUGCCAGCAGCCGCGGUAAUACGUAGGUGGCAAGCGUUAUCCGGAUUUAUUGGGCGUAAAGCGAGCGCAGGCGGUUUUUUAAGCCUGAUGUGAAAGCCCUCGGCUUAACCGAGGAAGCGCAUCGGAAACUGGGAAACUUGAGUGCAGAAGAGGACAGUGGAACUCCAUGUGUAGCGGUGAAAUGCGUAGAUAUAUGGAAGAACACCAGUGGCGAAGGCGGCUGUCUGGUCUGUAACUGACGCUGAGGCUCGAAAGCAUGGGUAGCGAACAGGAUUAGAUACCCUGGUAGUCCAUGCCGUAAACGAUGAAUGCUAGGUGUUGGAGGGUUUCCG
rnacentral:rRNA from 1 species